rnacentral:rRNA from 1 species
CCUACGGGUGGCAGCAGUGAGGAAUAUUGGUCAAUGGCCGAGAGGCUGAACCAGCCAAGUCGCGUGAGGGAAGACGGCCCUACGGGUUGUAAACCUCUUUUGUCGGGGAGCAAAGCGAACCACGUGUGGUUCCUUUAGAGUACCCGCAGAAAAAGCAUAGGCUAACUCCGUACCAGCAGCCGCGGUAAUGCGUAGGUGGCAAACGUUGUCCGGAUUUACUGGGUGUAAAGGGCGUGCAGCCGGAGAGAAAAGUCAGAUGGGAAAUACACGGGCUAAACCCGUGAACUGCAUUUGAAACUGUUUCCCUUGAGUGUCGGAGAGGUAAUCGGAAUUCCUUGUGUAGCGGUGAAAUGCAUAGAUAUCACGCAGAACUCCGAUUGCGAAGGCAGCAUACCGGCGCCCGACUGACGCUGAGGCACGAAAGCGUGGGUAGCGAACAGGAUUAGAUACCCUGGUAGUC